UGUUAAGCUUUAGAGUUUACGAAAUUAUAUAUUUAACUUUUUGUGCUUAUUAUUUAGGAUCUAGAAUUUGAGGUAUAUAAGGAUUGGGUUUAAGGUUUGGAAUCUAUGAUUUAGGUUUUCAGGUUUGAGACAUAGAAGUGAGUUUAGAUAUAAGUUUUGAAGUUCGUGUAUAGGGUAAAGAGUUUAGUGUAUGAUUUUGGUUUGAAAUUUGAGGUAUAGGGAUUAUUGGAGUUAGGUUUAGGGGUUAUAGUUUAUGAUAUAGUUUGGAAUUUGAUGUAUAAGGUUUUAUUUGGUUCAUGUUUAAGGUUUGAGGUCAUGGUUAGAAACAAUUAUAUUUGGUAAACUAUAAUUUUUUAAAGUGUUAGAUUUAUGUUUUUGAGUAUAUUAUAAUAACGAUUAUAGUUAAAAACUUUAAAAUUUGGGGAUUAUAUAUAUAUUUUUUUAUGUUUAUAUUUAAGAGCUUUUGGUUUUAAUUUUAGAAUUUUUGAUUAAAAA
rnacentral:lncRNA from 1 species